rnacentral:lncRNA from 1 species
GAAAAAUAAAAAGAUGAACUCUUUGAGAUUAGAGGUAAUAAUAUCAAGAAAUAUCUGUUCUCAUUUGAGUGCAUGUGUCUCUGCAAAAUUCAUAUGUUGGAACUUAAAGCCCAGGGUGAUGGUAUUAAGAGGUGGUAGAAAGGCAUUUGGGAAUGGAUUACAUCAUAAAGGCUCUACCCUGAUUAAUGGGAUUAUGGAACAGGCUUCAAAGAGCUACCUGGAACUUCCAUCACUUCUACCAUGUGAAGAUAAACAUGAAUCUCUUUUUUCCCUUAUAUUUCUUCUGCCAUGUGAGAACACAGUAUUUGUCUUUUCCACCUUUCCAUGAUGUGAGGACACCCCAAGAAUGUCCCCUAAAGACAGGAAACAAGACAUGGAAUCUUCUGGCACCAUGAUCUUGGACUUCAUAGCCUCCAAAAUGGUUAGCAAGCUGAAGCAAGGGAAGAGAAGAACAGUUUAAUAAUCAAAGAGCGUGAUUAUAAUGAUGCCCCCAUGGAGCUGAAGAAUAGAGAACCUACAGACCCGCAUGUAUUGAAGUUUGAAACCACCUGUGUAAACAGCACACAGAUGAAGGACCACUUUACCCUGUUUCUCACACCAUAGGUGUCAUAGACAUACUAAUGAAGGGGCUGCCUCACACAGAGAGCUAUCUUACAAGGUUCUGAGAAUAAAAUGAGAGCUAGAAGAGACAUGAUUUCUACUUCAAUAUUUUAUUUGGCAACAUCCUACUGAAAAGACAAGCAAAACCACUAUGAUUCAUAAUACUUGCAGAUGAAGGCAAUAUGACACAAGAAGGUUAAACGGCCUCUCAUGACAAUUGAAGGGAACGAGAGCAAAGCCACCUGCAUAUCUUCGGCAGUUAAAGAUCAGAAUCAUAACAACAAUAACAUCUCACAAUUUUCCAAGUGCUCCUUCGGCUCUGUCUUUUUCCUCCCACCUGAGGCCCCCAGGGUGGGUGUAGACAUUCAUCUCUGCUUCAUUUGAUCCACCUCUGCUUGGCCACUGCUGGACUUUUUCUCAGGCAAAGGAGAACCCCCAGGAGAGUGGAUAAACUGGACCAAGGAGCUGCAGAGCUCAAAUAGAACACUUCUCCUUCAAAAUUUAACUCAGCUCUCGGAAACACUGAAAGGAAAUGUGGCCUAUAAUUAUCCAACGUGAGAUGCAAGGAUUGAAUGCUUUGUCCAAGCUUUGCUGUUCUAAGAGAAGUCAAGGUGAAGGGUUUAGUGCCUCUGAAGCUGGGGCAAGAAAACAAUCGGCUUCUCCAACGGUCAGUAAAGAAUACAAGGGCACAGUUAAAACAGAGCCACUGAAGUGAACAACCUUCAUGUGACCAACAGGAGAAACACCCCCUCCAGGAACCUAAGACCAGUUUGCUACAAGAAUACAAUUGGUAUUCCCCACAGUCACCCUCACAAGGGACACUUACAAAGCACACUCCAAUCUCAGCCAUUACUGACUGACAAGAGCCUGCCUGUCUGAAGCCUGCAGGCCCGAGAAGCUUCUUUCUCCCUUCUCUUGGCUAUUAGUCACAGCUGGUAAGGCUCACAGGAACCGAGACUGUUUGAAAACAGUUGGAUCACGAAAACGUUUGAGUCUUUCUGCUGCAAGCAACAAACUUGGCCCAGGCUGCCACAAGGAGAUGGAGUGGGAGUGGGGGUGGCGAUGGGAUGCACCAGGAACGAAGGAAGAAAGGGAAAUUGCUAACCACCUCACUUCAAAAUCUUCUCUGAGGGAGCCCGUGGCUAUUAUCCUGGUUCAAAUGUCACAGAUAGAAGAUAAUAAAAACAAGAAGAAAUAAAAUUCAAGAUCCAUUAGAACACUUCUGGAUUGUCCAUUACAGCAUGUAUUACCCAACAGAAAGAUGAUCACUAAUAGAUGACAAGCUAUUUAAUUUUAUGUUUACUUUUGGAAGGAUGCAGGUACUGUGCAGGGUUUCUACAACACAUCAGCAUUGCUUACACCAGUACUUCAAAUAUGAGUUAUUUAAUCACCCAAGUUAAAUGAAAAUAACCAAAUGAUUAAAUAAAAUCAAGUCAUACUUCAUGUGAAGACUUUA